AAUUAAACCAUCAUUCUUAAGCACAUUGAACUUGUUAUCAUUAGAUGCAUGCUGAGAACAAAAUAGUCUAUACAAGCUAGAAUAAAUCUAAUCUCAGUAACAACGAAAUCUGAUUGAGUAUAACACUACACUAGCCCAUAAUACUACUGAAUGAAUUCUACGAAAUAGUAGUUCCAAUAAUCCCAAUCAUACAGUCAAAUUCGUGUGUAUAAACAUCAAACUUCAAACUACACUAAAAAAGUAAACUAAACAGCACAAAUCGACAGGCAUAACUUUCAGGAGCAAAUGAGAGAUCCAUUUUAUUGCGUGUCCACGUCAAAUCAGCGCCAGCACAAUCAGGAUAGGAAUGAGUACAUGGUUUUUUGAAUAACAACAGAGGAAGAGAAGGUCAGCAGCAAGUAAUGAGAGCUCACACCAGCCAGAACCAGUCCAACUGUUCAGGGAGUUUUUAAUACCAAACAAAAUCCAAGCAACCAACCACAAAUUAACUGAAAUGCAUCCAAAUAGACUUGAAAUACUCAAAAAUACUUCAUCAAACCCAAAACUCAAGAAAACUAAUUUAAUUGAACCCAAAGUUAAUCGAAACUAAACCAGACUACUUUUGAAACCUUCAAUUAUCGGAGUCGAACUAGGAACUGCAAAUCAGUAGCUCAAAGUUGAAAAUUCUCUCAAAAAUUUAAUGGAACAGUAGCUGUUUUUGGAUUUUUGGAAGUUUCUAUUGUUUUUUAUUUUCUAUAUGAAGAAAGCUAAAAUCUAAGAGGAUUUUUUUACUUGAAUUUGAAUUUUCAGAUCUGUUUCAGCAAAAAAUUUUGGGGGAAAUUCUAUGGCUAAUAAAAGACCCCUUUCAAGGCAAUUGUGAUGCCCUUUUAUAAGCAAACAAGGUGAAUUAUCAGAUUUUAGUAUUUCUUUCAGGUCCCUAUGAAUUUUCAGCUUAUAUCCCUUAUUUUUUUCCUUUUGACUCAAGUCACACCUCUAUGUUAACUGAAAUAUGCCUUAACACCUACACCUAGAAUCUUCUAGGAAAUUCUAACUAGUUUCCCUACCCCAAAUUACCCCAAUUGCCCUUAAUUAACUAAUUGUACUUAGGACUGACUUGCUAACUCUAAACAACUAGACUAAACAUGGAUAAACUAACAGUUAUCUGACUAAAGCAAGCAUUAAUCACAGAACUUUGUUCAAUUAUUAACCAAUUCGAUCAACAAUCAGAAAUAAACCAUUAUCAACUAUUAGUCUAACAGAAUUAAGAACAGAAGUCAAGCUAAACCAGAACAUAUUUAAAAGACAACUACCAAAUUAAACUAAUCGGAACGAGUAGCUAGCAGGUGAUAAUUAAACUAAAAACCCAAACCAAUUGAACCCUCAACAUUAACUAAUCAUGCAAACUAAUUAUUGUCAAAGUUAUUCCAGCACUCUAAUUGACUACUCAUGCCAGCAAAAAAACAAAGAUAAAAGGGUGACCGAAAAAGAAAAGAAAAGGAAGGGAAUGAACUUACUAAAACAAAGAUCGGUCAAUUAAUCAAUUCUCUAAUUUGGCCAUUUUCAGUGAAAUUCGAGCUCUAUUGACACUAAAAUCCUUAUGAGGGCAGUCCAGGAACCCUAUCGUACUCAUUUGGUGAGGAUUGGAUUAUUUAGGGUUUGGCCAAAAGACCCAAUAAUCCCAAUUCGAGAAGUUUCAGGGAGAUUCGAGACAUGUGGUUAUGUGGAUUUGGUAGAGGAGGCUUAGGUGAUCCUAAGGUGUUAAUUUGGUGCCGUUUGGGACUAGUAGUGUCAUGGCCAGAAAAAGUUUCAACGAAGAUUCGAAGAGCUAGGCCGGGUUUUGAAGGGAACUGUUUGUAGAUUUGAGAUGAGGGAGAAGAUAGGAUCACAUGGUAUUAAUUUGGGGUUGAUCGGAGAAGGUGGUGUUCGCCGUCGGCUGCGUUACAGAGGAGAUACGAGGAAGAUAGAUGCUGUCUUUUAGGGUUAUUAAUUUUUC
rnacentral:lncRNA from 1 species